AAAACCCUCAACAGAUGAGUCAUCAAAGGAACAUACCUCAAAAUAAUAAGAGCCAUCUACUACAAACCACAGCCAACAUUAUCCUGAAUGAAAAUGC